GGAAGCAAAAGUCGUAACAAGGUUUCCGUAGGUGAACCUGCGGAAGGAUCAUUCAUAAUAAGUGUUUUAUGGCACUUUUUUAAAUCCAUAUCCACCUUGUGUGCAAUGUCAGGGUUGAUUUUUCUCUCGAGAGGAUCAACCCCAAACAUCAACUAUAUCUCAACUCUUUGUCUGAAAAAUAUUAUGAAUAAAACAAUUCAAAAUACAACUUUCAACAACGGAUCUCUUGGCUCUC
rnacentral:misc_RNA from 1 species